rnacentral:rRNA from 1 species
UGGGGAAUUUUGGACAAUGGGGGAAACCCUGAUCCAGCCAUCCCGCGUGUGCGAUGAAGGCCUUCGGGUUGUAAAGCACUUUUGGCAGGAAAGAAACGUCAUGGGUUAAUACCCCGUGAAACUGACGGUACCUGCAGAAUAAGCACCGGCUAACUACGUGCCAGCAGCCGCGGUAAUACGUAGGGUGCAAGCGUUAAUCGGAAUUACUGGGCGUAAAGCGUGCGCAGGCGGUUCGGAAAGAAAGAUGUGAAAUCACAGAGCUCAACUUUGGAACUGCAUUUUUAACUACCGGGCUAGAGUGUGUCAGAGGGAGGUGGAAUUCCGCGUGUAGCAGUGAAAUGCGUAGAUAUGCGGAGGAACACCGAUGGCGAAGGCAGCCUCCUGGGAUAACACUGACGCUCAUGCACGAAAGCGUGGGGAGCAAACAGG